rnacentral:lncRNA from 1 species
AUGUAGGUAGGAGAAGUCAGUACAGAACUGGUGAAUUAGUUGCCUAACAUGCUGUGUCACAAGGCAGGGGUGCCAAUGUUUUCAGCACCUAAUUACUCUACUCCCUGGUGAGUGUGUUUCUUUAACAUUUCACAUUUUCAGAUGGAAGCCGUGUCUGCUGUGGUAUCACCUAUGCUGGAGCAGCCUCAUGGAUCUAUUUUCCCCUUUGAUGACUCUAACUCACUCACCAGAUGGAUGAGAGGCACUGCCAGCUGCCUGGGAAGGCUGUCACUGCUGAGGUUGGCAUCCCGUGAGCUGUACAGGUCCAGGAGAAGACUGAUGUCCUCAUGCGACUGCUUUCUGAGUCCAGCACUGCCCUUCAGCCUCCCUUUGGGCUACGUAGAACUGAGAAGGGAUCUGAACCAGAACUUUCCAUCCUGCAAAGGCAGGCAGGUGCCAAGGGACACAGGUCUGGCCCCCACCCAGCUCCAGGACAUGAGCACCACUUUCAUUCCUUCCCUCCCCACGCACAGAUAAUUGUGCUGCCCUUGGCUGGCUCCAACCAUCACACCAGCCAGCAAGAGCUCAUGAACCAGCCAUAGACCAGAACAGCAGGGAGUGAGUGCACACUAACCCUGCGUGCUGGCAAGGACUGGCUCUCUGGUGCUUUCUUGUCAGGGUCCAUAGGACUUUAUAAGUCUGCACUUUGGCUACCUAGCUUGAUCCUGCUCUUCCUGAAG